rnacentral:rRNA from 1 species
GCCUCGGCUAACUCCGUGCCAGCAGCCGCGGUAAUACGGAGGAGGCAAGCGUUAUCCGGAAUUAUUGGGCGUAAAGCGUCCGCAGGUGGCGAUUCAAGUCUGCUGUACAAGCACGGGGCUUAACUCCGUUAAGGCAGUGGAAACUGAAUAGCUAGAGUGCCGUAUGGGUAGAGGGAAUUCCCGGUGUAGCGGUGAAAUGCGUAGAGAUCGGGAAGAACAUCGGUGGCGAAAGCGCUCUACUGGACGGCACUGACACUCAGGGACGAAAGCUAGGGGAGCGAAUGGGAUUAGAUACCACAGUAGUCCUAGCUGUAAACGAUGGAUACUAGGUGUAGCUUGUAUCGACCCGAGCUGUGCCGAAGCUAACGCGUUAAGUAUCCCGCCUGGGGAGUACGCACGCAAGUGUGAAACUCAAAGGAAUUGACGGGGGCCCGCACAAGCGGUGGAGUAUGUGGUUUAAUUCGAUGCAACGCGAAGAACCUUACCAGGGCUUGACAUGUCCGGAAU